rnacentral:rRNA from 1 species
AUUGAACGCUGGCGGCAGGCCUAACACAUGCAAGUCGAACGAGUGGCGGACGGGUGAGUAAUGUCUGGGAAACUGCCUGAUGGAGGGGGAUAACUACUGGAAACGGUCGCUAAAACCGCAUACCAUCAGAUGUGCCCAGAUGGGAUUAGCUGGUUGGGGGGGUAACGGCUCACAAAGGCGACGAUCCCUAGCGGGUCCGAGAGGCAGACCGGCCACAUGGGAACUGAGACACGGCCCAGCCUCCUACGGGAGGCAGCAGUGGGGAAUAUUGCACAAUGGGGGCAAUCCUGAUGCAGACAUGCCGCGUGUAUGAAGAAGGCCUUAGGGUUGUAAAGUACGUUCAUCGGGGAGGCGUUACCCGCAGAAGAAGCAACGGCUAACUCCGUGCCAGCAGCCGCGGUAAUUC